GUGCUUACUUUGACAGCACAUAUACUAAAAUUGGAAUGAUAUAAAGAAGAUUAACAUGGCUCCUGCACAAGAAUGACACGCAGGGACUGGAGAGAUAGCAGAAGGAC